rnacentral:sRNA from 12 species
CCUAUGGACUGUUAUAUCAAACCCAAGUAGUACCUUCGAAAGGAGAUAGCAAAAGGGGACAGGUUGAAAUAGGAA